ACUGCUCUUAGAGGCAUUCCGGGUGUGACCACUGUGUCACAUGUGCAUCAGUAGGUGGCAGAGAGGAGAAAGGCUAUGUCUAAACUCAAUGUUCUGAUCUAUGAAUACCUAAAGGAUUAGUAGUCUAAUAUU
ensembl:snoRNA Gm25342 small nucleolar RNA SNORA17